rnacentral:rRNA from 1 species
GAUUAAGUUAUUAAGGGCGCACGGUGGAUGCCUUGGCACUAGAAGCCGAUGAAGGACGUUACUAACGACGAUAUGCUUUGGGGAGCUGUAAGUAAGCUUUGAUCCAGAGAUUUCCGAAUGGGGAAACCCAGCAUGAGUUAUGUCAUGUUAUCGAUAUGUGAAUACAUAGCAUAUCAGAAGGCACACCCGGAGAACUGAAACAUCUUAGUACCCGGAGGAAGAGAAAGAAAAUUCGAUUCCCUUAGUAGCGGCGAGCGAAACGGGAAGAGCCCAAACCAACAAGCUUGCUUGUUGGGGUUGUAGGACACUCUAUACGGAGUUACAAAGGACGACAUUAGACGAAUCAUCUGGAAAGAUGAAUCAAAGAAGGUAAUAAUCCUGUAGUCGAAAAUGUUGUCUCUCUUGAGUGGAUCCUGAGUACGACGGAGCACGUGAAAUUCCGUCGGAAUCUGGGAGGACCAUCUCCUAAGGCUAAAUACUCUCUAGUGACCGAUAGUGAACCAGUACCGUGAGGGAAAGGUGAAAAGCACCCCGGAAGGGGAGUGAAAUAGAACCUGAAACCGUGUGCUUACAAGUAGUCAGAGCCCGUUAAUGGGUGAUGGCGUGCCUUUUGUAGAAUGAACCGGCGAGUUACGAUUUGAUGCAAGGUUAAGCAGUAAAUGUGGAGCCGUAGCGAAAGCGAGUCUGAAUAGGGCGUUUAGUAUUUGGUCGUAGACCCGAAACCAGGUGAUCUACCCUUGGUCAGGUUGAAGUUCAGGUAACACUGAAUGGAGGACCGAACCGACUUACGUUGAAAAGUGAGCGGAUGAACUGAGGGUAGCGGAGAAAUUCCAAUCGAACCUGGAGAUAGCUGGUUCUCUCCGAAAUAGCUUUAGGGCUAGCCUCAAGUGAUGAUUAUUGGAGGUAGAGCACUGUUUGGACGAGGGGCCCCUCUCGGGUUACCGAAUUCAGACAAACUCCGAAUGCCAAUUAAUUUAACUUGGGAGUCAGAACAUGGGUGAUAAGGUCCGUGUUCGAAAGGGAAACAGCCCAGACCACCAGCUAAGGUCCCAAAAUAUAUGUUAAGUGGAAAAGGAUGUGGCGUUGCCCAGACAACUAGGAUGUUGGCUUAGAAGCAGCCAUCAUUUAAAGAGUGCGUAAUAGCUCACUAGUCGAGUGACACUGCGCCGAAAAUGUACCGGGGCUAAACAUAUUACCGAAGCUGUGGAUUGUCCUUUGGACAAUGGUAGGAGAGCGUUCUAAGGGCGUUGAAGCAUGAUCGUAAGGACAUGUGGAGCGCUUAGAAGUGAGAAUGCCGGUGUGAGUAGCGAAAGACGGGUGAGAAUCCCGUCCACCGAUUGACUAAGGUUUCCAGAGGAAGGCUCGUCCGCUCUGGGUUAGUCGGGUCCUAAGCUGAGGCCGACAGGCGUAGGCGAUGGAUAACAGGUUGAUAUUCCUGUACCACCUAUAAUCGUUUUAAUCGAUGGGGGGACGCAGUAGGAUAGGCGAAGCGUGCGAUUGGAUUGCACGUCUAAGCAGUAAGGCUGAGUAUUAGGCAAAUCCGGUACUCGUUAAGGCUGAGCUGUGAUGGGGAGAAGACAUUGUNNNNNNNNNNNNNNNNNNNNNNNNNNNNNNNNNNNNNNNNNNNNNNNNNNNNNNNNNNNNNNNNNNNNNNNNNNNNNNNNNNNNNNNNNNNNNNNNNGUGUCUUCGAGUCGUUGAUUUCACACUGCCGAGAAAAGCCUCUAGAUAGAAAAUAGGUGCCCGUACCGCAAACCGACACAGGUAGUCAAGAUGAGAAUUCUAAGGUGAGCGAGCGAACUCUCGUUAAGGAACUCGGCAAAAUGACCCCGUAACUUCGGGAGAAGGGGUGCUCUUUAGGGUUAACGCCCAGAAGAGCCGCAGUGAAUAGGCCCAAGCGACUGUUUAUCAAAAACACAGGUCUCUGCUAAACCGUAAGGUGAUGUAUAGGGGCUGACGCCUGCCCGGUGCUGGAAGGUUAAGAGGAGUGGUUAGCUUCUGCGAAGCUACGAAUCGAAGCCCCAGUAAACGGCGGCCGUAACUAUAACGGUCCUAAGGUAGCGAAAUUCCUUGUCGGGUAAGUUCCGACCCGCACGAAAGGCGUAACGAUUUGGGCACUGUCUCAACGAGAGACUCGGUGAAAUCAUAGUACCUGUGAAGAUGCAGGUUACCCGCGACAGGACGGAAAGACCCCGUGGAGCUUUACUGUAGCCUGAUAUUGAAAUUCGGCACAGCUUGUACAGGAUAGGUAGGAGCCUUUGAAACGUGAGCGCUAGCUUACGUGGAGGCGCUGGUGGGAUACUACCCUAGCUGUGUUGGCUUUCUAACCCGCACCACUUAUCGUGGUGGGAGACAGUGUCAGGCGGGCAGUUUGACUGGGGCGGUCGCCUCCUAAAAGGUAACGGAGGCGCUCAAAGGUUCCCUCAGAAUGGUUGGAAAUCAUUCAUAGAGUGUAAAGGCAUAAGGGAGCUUGACUGCGAGACCUACAAGUCGAGCAGGGUCGAAAGACGGACUUAGUGAUCCGGUGGUUCCGCAUGGAAGGGCCAUCGCUCAACGGAUAAAAGCUACCCCGGGGAUAACAGGCUUAUCUCCCCCAAGAGUUCACAUCGACGGGGAGGUUUGGCACCUCGAUGUCGGCUCAUCGCAUCCUGGGGCUGUAGUCGGUCCCAAGGGUUGGGCUGUUCGCCCAUUAAAGCGGUACGCGAGCUGGGUUCAGAACGUCGUGAGACAGUUCGGUCCCUAUCCGUCGUGGGCGUAGGAAAUUUGAGAGGAGCUGUCCUUAGUACGAGAGGACCGGGAUGGACAUACCUCUGGUGUACCAGUUGUCGUGCCAACGGCAUAGCUGGGUAGCUAUGUGUGGACGGGAUAAGUGCUGAAAGCAUCUAAGCAUGAAGCCCCCCUCAAGAUGAGAUUUCCCAACUUCGGUUAUAAGAUCCCUCAAAGAUGAUGAGGUUAAUAGGUUCGAGGUGGAAGCAUGGUGACAUGUGGAGCUGACGAAUACUAAUCGAUCGAAGACUUAAUCAA